rnacentral:rRNA from 1 species
CCUACGGGGGGCAGCAGUGAGGAAUAUUGGUCAAUGGACGAGAGUCUGAACCAGCCAAGUAGCGUGAAGGAUGACUGCCCUAUGGGUUGUAAACUUCUUUUAUGAAGGAAUAAAACGAGGCACGUGUGCCUUUUUGCAUGUACUUUAUGAAUAAGGAUCGGCUAACUCCGUGCCAGCAGCCGCGGUAAUACGGAGGAUCCGAGCGUUAUCCGGAUUUAUUGGGUUUAAAGGGAGCGUAGAUGGGUUGUUAAGUCAGAUGUGAAAGUUUGCGGCUCAACCGUAAAAUUGCAAUUGAUACUGGCAGUCUUGAGUACAGUUGAGGGAGGUGGAAUUCGUGGUGUAGCGGUGAAAUGCUUAGAGAUCACGAAGAACCCCGAUUGCGAAGGCAGCUUACUAAACUGUGACUGACAUUGAUGCUCGAAAGUGUGGGGAUCAAACAGGAUUAGAUACCCCUGUAGUC